rnacentral:snRNA from 1 species
AAGCAUUUGCUCUUUUAGUAUUUCUCUAGUAGGUUUCCUGAAGGAGAAAGCCUCC